GAUGAACGCUGGCGGCGUGCUUAACACAUGCAAGUCGAACGAAGAAGCCCAGCUUGCCGGGUGGAUUAGUGGCGAACGGGUGAGUAACACGUGAGUAACAUGCCCUUGAUCUUGGGCCAAGUCUGGGAUAAUGGGUCUAAUACUGGUCAUGACUUCUCAUCGCAUGGAGGGGGGUGGCAAGAUUUAUUGGUCUUGGAUGGACUCGCGGCGUGGGGGCAUGGUGGUGAGGUGUUGGCUCGCGAAGGCGACGCCGGGUAGCCGGCCGGAGAGGGUGACCUGCGACACUGGGACGGAGCCACGGCGCGGCCUCCGUCGGGAGGCAGGAGUGGGGAGUAGUGCACAAUGGGCGCAAGCCUGAUGCAGCGACGCCGCGUGAGGGAUGACGGCCUUCGGGUUGUAAACCGCUAUCCGUAUGGAAGAAGCGGGAGUGACGGUACCUGCAGAAGAAGCGCCGGCUAACUACGUG
rnacentral:rRNA from 1 species